rnacentral:rRNA from 1 species
AGCAGUAGCCGCGGUAAUACGUAGGUGGCAAGCGUUGUCCGGAAUUAUUGGGCGUAAAGCGCGCGCAGGUGGUUUAAUAAGUCUGAUGUGAAAGCCCACGGCUCAACCGUGGAGGGUCAUUGGAAACUGUUAAACUUGAGUGCAGGAGAGAAAAGUGGAAUUCCUAGUGUAGCGGUGAAAUGCGUAGAGAUUAGGAGGAACACCAGUGGCGAAGGCGGCUUUUUGGCUUGUAACUGACACUGAGGCGCGAAAGCGUGGGGAGCAAACAGGAUUAGAUACCCGGGUAGUCCCUGUCUCUUAUAC